rnacentral:rRNA from 1 species
GGAGCUAAUACCGGAUAGUUCCUUGAACCGCAUGGUUCAAGGAUGAAAGACGGUUUCGGCUGUCACUUACAGAUGGACCCGCGGCGCAUUAGCUAGUUGGUGAGGUAAUGGCUCACCAAGGCGACGAUGCGUAGCCGACCUGAGAGGGUGAUCGGCCACACUGGGACUGAGACACGGCCCAGACUCCUACGGGAGGCAGCAGUAGGGAAUCUUCCGCAAUGGACGAAAGUCUGACGGAGCAACGCCGCGUGAGUGAUGAAGGUUUUCGGAUCGUAAAGCUCUGUUGUUAGGGAAGAACAAAAAAAUUGUUUAUACUGCUCGCACCUUGACGGUACCUAACCAGAAAGCCACGGCUAACUACGUGCCAGCAGCCGCGGUAAUACGUAGGUGGCAAGCGUUGUCCGGAAUUAUUGGGCGUAAAGGGCUCGCAGGCGGUUUCUUAAGUCUGAUGUGAAAGCCCCCGGCUCAACCGGGGAGGGUCAUUGGAAACUGGGAAACUUGAGUGCAGAAGAGGAGAGUGGAAUUCCACGUGUAGCGGUGAAAUGCGUAGAGAUGUGGANGGAACACCAGNUGGCGAAGGCGACUCUCUGGUCUGUAACUGACGCUGAGGAGCGAAAGCGUGGGGAGCGAACAGGAUUAGAUACCCUGGUAGUCCACGCCGUAAACGAUGAGUGCUAAGUGUUAGGGGGUUUCCGCCCCUUAGUGCUGCAGCUAACGCAUUAAGCACUCCGCCUGGGGAGUACGGUCNGNCANAGACUGAAACUCAAAGGAAUUGACGGGGGCCCGCACAAGCGGUGGAGCAUGUGGUUUAAUUCGAAGCAACGCGAAGAACCUUACCAGGUCUUGACAUCCUCUGACAACCCUAGAGAUAGGGCUUUCCCUUCGGGGACAGAGUGACAGGUGGUGCAUGGUUGUCGUCAGCUCGUGUCGUGAGAUGUUGGGUUAAGUCCCGCAACGAGCGCAACCCUUGAUCUUAGUUGCCAGCAUUUAGUUGGGCACUCUAAGGUGACUGCCGGUGACAAACCGGAGGAAGGUGGGGAUGACGUCAAAUCAUCAUGCCCCUUAUGACCUGGGCUACACACGUGCUACAAUGGACAGAACAAAGGGCUGCAAGACCGCAAGGUUUAGCCAAUCCCAUAAAUCUGUUCUCAGUUCGGAUCGCAGUCUGCAACUCGACUGCGUGAAGCUGGAAUCGCUAGUAAUCGCGGAUCAGCAUGCCGCGGUGAAUAC